UUAUAGUCAAAGUGUAUUUUUUUCUUUUUAGCGCAUUUAAAUAAAAGCUUUUUACCUUAAUUUUUUUUCUUGUGGUAACCCUGAAUAUGCUUGGCGCGUAUUUAGCAUUUAACAUUUUAUUUUGUUAUUAAAAUGGUGAAAAAGUGUUGCGUUUAUACUUGCAAAUGUAAAUCCUAUGAUGGUUGCAACAUAUCGUUCCACAGCUUCCCAAAAAAUGAAGAAAGACGACAUAAAUGGUUCAGCAGUCUAUAGUGGCGGUCCGCCCCGGGCACCACAUCUAAAGGGGUGCCAUCUCGUUCGGCACAUAUCUGCACGUCCAGGAUAGCGCGGGCAGAAGGGACAAGUCACGGAAGGUGUCAUCCUAAUCUGCGAAACCUAGAUUCACUACCAGUCGCUGCGCAAUUUUCAAAUCGCGCGAGACAUCGAGGCCGGACUAAGGGGUCGACUGUCACCCCUUUAAAGAAGAAAAAAUGCGCUCGCUUCACUCGCGAUUUUCGUCUUUGUUCCUAAUUUAUUCUGCGCUUACUUUACGGUGAUUUUUUAUAAGCUGUUCAGUUCAAUAAAUUCGCGCUCGCUACGCUCGUGGCUCCUUCGAUUUACAGUGGCGUUUUUAAGUCACAGUCAAAAACGUUUAUUGAAAGUAGGCUAGUUUUUAGUACUUUUUCACGGCAAAAUUACAAAAGUAUUAUAGCAGCUGCCUAUUACAAUUUACUUAUAAUAUUGUUUUAUCAGUUGUUUAGGUACUUUUGCAUCCCAAAACUCAAAAACUUAACUUUUUAACUUUUUGUGCCACAAAAUCUAAAAUUUUCAAAAAAUCAUCAAAGAUCGCGUUUUUAACAUUAUAUCAUUGGUCUGUGAUUUGAUUUUGUCGUUUUUUUUUGGGGGUGCUCAAUAGGUAGUCGCCCCGGGUGCCACCCGAUGCUAGGCCGCCACUGCUGACUUUUACAAAGAAGAGCGAGUGUCUGCUGAUCAAGGCAGGCACUAAAAGCUAUGAUGUACCACCUAUUACACUUGUAGGGACUGCUUUAGAGUGGGUCACUUCUUUGAAAUAUCUGGGGCACUGGGUCACUCCUACGCAGACUGAUAAUAAUGACAUUGAAAGGGAACGUAGGGCGCUGUCAGUCAGGAGCAAUAUGUUGAUCCGUAGGUUUGCAAAGUGCUCAAGGGAUGUCAAGAAUACUCUGUUCAGAGCGUACUGCCAAUCUCUCUACACUCGCAGCCUAUGGGUCGACUAUACGCAGAGGGCCUAUAGCGCCUUACGAAUCCAAUUCACAAUUGAGAUUGCCGGGUCUUUCGUCAUCUCGACACACUUAACUCACCACGAAUGUGUUCAGUUGGUGAAACUCAAAAUUUUAACAUUUAUCAUUUCGUCAACUCGACACGUCAAGAUUUUGAUGCGUGUUCAGUUGGUGAAAGUUAAAUUAUUCACUUUUAUGUUUUCACCAACUCGACACGUUUUAUAAUUUAACCCGAUUUUAAGCAAAAAGUACAGUCAACAAAUGAAUGUAUUCAUUUUCUGUGUCACAAACAUCAUCGGCCACUGAACUUCAGCUUAGCAAACGCUUCAUCAGGGAUGUUUGCGGAGGCGCGUAUUGAUGACUUUCACGCUAUAAUCCGAAAGAGAAUCGCAUCCCUGAUGUGUCGGGUGCGGGGCAGCGCUAACAGUCUUUUGAGGACUGUGGCAGAUUGGACUGAUGGCCUCAUAUUAAAACACUGGACAAAGACGCAAGUGUUGUCUACAAACCGUGCCCAGAAGUAGUGUUGAGUUGUGUGGGUUGUUUUAAUUAAUUGUAUUUUGUGUAUUUGUCAUGACAUGAUUAUAUACAAUUUUAAAUUAAUGUGUUGCCUAAAUGUAUGUUUUUAUGUACUAACACUAGAUUAUAAGCUGUUUAUGUCUUUACUAA